rnacentral:rRNA from 1 species
GACGAACGCUGGCGGCGUGCUUAACACAUGCAAGUCGAACGAAGUGGCGAACGGGUGAGUAACGCGUAAUCAACCUGCCCUUCAGAGGGGGACAACAGUUGGAAACGUCUGCUAAUACCGCUUACUGCUGGAGGGGUUGGAGUCUGAUUAGCUAGUUGGAGGGGUAACGGCCCACCAAGGCGAUGAUCAGUAGGCGGUCUGAGAGGAUGAACGGCAACAGUGGGACUGGGACACGGCCCAGACUCCUACGGGAGGCAGGAGGGGGGAAUCUGCCGAAAUGGACGAAAGGCUGACGGAGCAACGCCGCGUGAGUGGUGACGGCCUUCGGGUUGUAAAGCUCUGUUAAUCGGGACGCGGUACCGGAAUAGAAAGCCACGGCUAACUACGUGCCAGCAGCCGCGGUAAUAC